rnacentral:rRNA from 1 species
AAUUUUGGACAAUGGGGGAAACCCUGAUCCAGCAAUGCGGCGUGCAGGAUGAAGGCCUUCGGGUUGUAAACUGCUGUUGUACGGAACGACACGUCUUGGGUUAAUACCCUGGGAUCAUGACGGUACCUGCAGAAUACGCACCGGCUAACUACGUCUGAGUAGCCGCGGUAAUACGUAGUGUGCAACCGUUAAUCGGAAUUUCUGGGCGUAAAGCGUGCGCAGGCGGUUGUGUAAGACAGUGGUGAAAUCCCCGGGCUCAACCUGGGAACUGCCAUUGUGACUGCAAGGCUGGAGUGCGGCAGAGGUGGAUGGAAUUCCGCGUGUAGCAGUGAAAUGCGUAGAUAUGCGGAGGAACACCGAUGGCGAAGGCAAUCCCCUGGGCCUGCACUGACGCUCAUGCACGAAAGCGUGGGGAGCAAACAGG